AGAUGAAUACAUAAAAACUCCAGAAAAAUUUUGUAUUGAAGAGUUAAAGGCCACUUGUUGUUUUAUGGUUAUAGGAUUUUUCUACAAACGGAGUA